rnacentral:rRNA from 1 species
CAGAGAUGUGUGAUGACGCAUAUCAAUAAGCGGAGGAAAAGAAACUAACAAGGAUUCCCUUAGUAACGGCGAGUGAAGUGGGAAGAGCUCAAAUUUGAAAUCUUCAAGGUUCUACCUUGACGAAUUGUAGUUUAUAGAAGUGUUUUCUGUUAGUAGAGUGGCAAAAGUUCUUUGGAAUAGGACAUCAUAGAGGGUGAGAAUCCCGUAUUUGGUCAUUCUUUCUAGCUUUGUGAUACACUUUCAACGAGUCGGAUUGUUUGGGAAUGCAGUCCAAAAUGGGUGGUAAAUUUCAUCUAAAGCUAAAUAUUGGCGAGAGACCGAUAGCGAACAAGUACCGUGAGGGAAAGAUGAAAAGAACUUUGAAAAGAGAGUUAAACAGUACGUGAAAUUGUCAAAAGGGAAGCGUUUGACACCAGUGUUGUUUUUCCGAAAAUCAAUUACGAAUGUUUUGUUUUUGAGAAGUUAUGACUUCAUCGGCUUGCUCCUUUCUUUACGAAACUUUCUUAAUGCACUUUUCGGCUAACAAGUCAACAUCAAUUUCUUUUGUUGUAAAAGGGUAUGAGGAAGGUGGCUUUCUUUUCGGAGAAAGUGUUUAUAGCCUUGUGCCUCUGCAAUCGGAGAGAUUGAGGUCUGCAGCGUAGAUCCUUCGGGGUUAGAUACAUUUGUGCUAAGUUAUAGCUUUUCAUAGACAACUUGUUGACUAUGUUUAGUCUUGUAGCUUACUCGCUUAUGCUAUUUUACCUACGCUUAGGAUGUUGACGAUCAGCUGAGCGCG